rnacentral:lncRNA from 1 species
CCAGCCUUCCAUUUUUUGACUUUUUUUUUUAUAAUAGAAUAAGUAUUUGAAUUUAUCUAAAACCAGAUAAAAGGCAAAGCUUUCCCUAGAAAAGAUUCAUAAAUAGGUUUGGUCUUUCAUGAAAUGCUUAAUUAGUAUAUACAAAGUCACAAUGUGAUUAUAAUGUAAUUGUUGUUCAACUUUGACUCUUUUUUAUAUUACACUGAAAUUUCAAACAAAUUUACAUAUUUUUUC